UGGGGAAUCUUGCACAAUGGAGGAAACUCUGAUGCAGCGACGCCGCGUGAGCGAAGAAGCCUUUCGGGGUGUAAAGCUCUUACGCCAGGGACGAUAAUGACGGUACCUGGAGAAGCAGCUGCGGCUAACUACGUGCCAGCAGCCGCGGUAAUACGUAGGCAGCAAGCGUUGUUCGGAAUUACUGGGCGUAAAGGGUGCGUAGGCGGCGCUCUAAGUUUGGUGUGAAAUCUCCCGGCUUAACUGGGAGGGUGCACUGAAAACUGGGGCGCUCGAGUAUGGGAGAGGAAAGCGGAAUUCCUGGUGUAGCGGUGAAACGCGUAGAGAUCAGGAGGAACACCAGCGGUGCAGACGGCUUUCUGGACCAUCACUGACGCUGAGGCACGAAAGCGUGGGUAGCAAACA
rnacentral:rRNA from 1 species